rnacentral:rRNA from 1 species
GGGUUGUGAGGUUAAGCGACUAAGCGUACACGGUGGAUGCCCUGGCAGUCAGAGGCGAUGAAGGACGUGCUAAUCUGCGAUAAGCGUCGGUAAGGUGAUAUGAACCGUUAUAACCGGCGAUUUCCGAAUGGGGAAACCCAGUGUGAUUCGUCACACUAUCAUUAACUGAAUCCAUAGGUUAAUGAGGCGAACCGGGGGAACUGAAACAUCUAAGUACCCCGAGGAAAAGAAAUCAACCGAGAUUCCCCCAGUAGCGGCGAGCGAACGGGGAGGAGCCCAGAGCCUGAAUCAGUGUGUGUGUUAGUGGAAGCGUCUGGAAAGGCGCGCGAUACAGGGUGACAGCCCCGUACACAAAAAUGCACAUACUGUGAGCUCGAUGAGUAGGGCGGGACACGUGGUAUCCUGUCUGAAUAUGGGGGGACCAUCCUCCAAGGCUAAAUACUCCUGACUGACCGAUAGUGAACCAGUACCGUGAGGGAAAGGCGAAAAGAACCCCGGCGAGGGGAGUGAAAAAGAACCUGAAACCGUGUACGUACAAGCAGUGGGAGCCUCUUUAUGGGGUGACUGCGUACCUUUUGUAUAAUGGGUCAGCGACUUAUAUUCUGUAGCAAGGUUAACCGAAUAGGGGAGCCGAAGGGAAACCGAGUCUUAACUGGGCGUUAAGUUGCAGGGUAUAGACCCGAAACCCGGUGAUCUAGCCAUGGGCAGGUUGAAGGUUGGGUAACACUAACUGGAGGACCGAACCGACUAAUGUUGAAAAAUUAGCGGAUGACUUGUGGCUGGGGGUGAAAGGCCAAUCAAACCGGGAGAUAGCUGGUUCUCCCCGAAAGCUAUUUAGGUAGCGCCUCGUGAAUUCAUCUCCGGGGGUAGAGCACUGUUUCGGCAAGGGGGUCAUCCCGACUUACCAACCCGAUGCAAACUGCGAAUACCGGAGAAUGUUAUCACGGGAGACACACGGCGGGUGCUAACGUCCGUCGUGAAGAGGGAAACAACCCAGACCGCCAGCUAAGGUCCCAAAGUCAUGGUUAAGUGGGAAACGAUGUGGGAAGGCCCAGACAGCCAGGAUGUUGGCUUAGAAGCAGCCAUCAUUUAAAGAAAGCGUAAUAGCUCACUGGUCGAGUCGGCCUGCGCGGAAGAUGUAACGGGGCUAAACCAUGCACCGAAGCUGCGGCAGCGACACUAUGUGUUGUUGGGUAGGGGAGCGUUCUGUAAGCCUGUGAAGGUGGCCUGUGAGGGUUGCUGGAGGUAUCAGAAGUGCGAAUGCUGACAUAAGUAACGAUAAAGCGGGUGAAAAGCCCGCUCGCCGGAAGACCAAGGGUUCCUGUCCAACGUUAAUCGGGGCAGGGUGAGUCGACCCCUAAGGCGAGGCCGAAAGGCGUAGUCGAUGGGAAACAGGUUAAUAUUCCUGUACUUGGUGUUACUGCGAAGGGGGGACGGAGAAGGCUAUGUUGGCCGGGCGACGGUUGUCCCGGUUUAAGCGUGUAGGCUGGUUUUCCAGGCAAAUCCGGAAAAUCAAGGCUGAGGCGUGAUGACGAGGCACUACGGUGCUGAAGCAACAAAUGCCCUGCUUCCAGGAAAAGCCUCUAAGCAUCAGGUAACAUCAAAUCGUACCCCAAACCGACACAGGUGGUCAGGUAGAGAAUACCAAGGCGCUUGAGAGAACUCGGGUGAAGGAACUAGGCAAAAUGGUGCCGUAACUUCGGGAGAAGGCACGCUGAUAUGUAGGUGAAGUCCCUCGCGGAUGGAGCUGAAAUCAGUCGAAGAUACCAGCUGGCUGCAACUGUUUAUUAAAAACACAGCACUGUGCAAACACGAAAGUGGACGUAUACGGUGUGACGCCUGCCCGGUGCCGGAAGGUUAAUUGAUGGGGUCAGCGCAAGCGAAGCUCUUGAUCGAAGCCCCGGUAAACGGCGGCCGUAACUAUAACGGUCCUAAGGUAGCGAAAUUCCUUGUCGGGUAAGUUCCGACCUGCACGAAUGGCGUAAUGAUGGCCAGGCUGUCUCCACCCGAGACUCAGUGAAAUUGAACUCGCUGUGAAGAUGCAGUGUACCCGCGGCAAGACGGAAAGACCCCGUGAACCUUUACUAUAGCUUGACACUGAACAUUGAGCCUUGAUGUGUAGGAUAGGUGGGAGGCUUUGAAGUGUGGACGCCAGUCUGCAUGGAGCCGACCUUGAAAUACCACCCUUUAAUGUUUGAUGUUCUAACGUUGACCCGUAAUCCGGGUUGCGGACAGUGUCUGGUGGGUAGUUUGACUGGGGCGGUCUCCUCCUAAAGAGUAACGGAGGAGCACGAAGGUUGGCUAAUCCUGGUCGGACAUCAGGAGGUUAGUGCAAUGGCAUAAGCCAGCUUGACUGCGAGCGUGACGGCGCGAGCAGGUGCGAAAGCAGGUCAUAGUGAUCCGGUGGUUCUGAAUGGAAGGGCCAUCGCUCAACGGAUAAAAGGUACUCCGGGGAUAACAGGCUGAUACCGCCCAAGAGUUCAUAUCGACGGCGGUGUUUGGCACCUCGAUGUCGGCUCAUCACAUCCUGGGGCUGAAGUAGGUCCCAAGGGUAUGGCUGUUCGCCAUUUAAAGUGGUACGCGAGCUGGGUUUAGAACGUCGUGAGACAGUUCGGUCCCUAUCUGCCGUGGGCGCUGGAGAACUGAGGGGGGCUGCUCCUAGUACGAGAGGACCGGAGUGGACGCAUCACUGGUGUUCGGGUUGUCAUGCCAAUGGCACUGCCCGGUAGCUAAAUGCGGAAGAGAUAAGUGCUGAAAGCAUCUAAGCACGAAACUUGCCCCGAGAUGAGUUCUCCCUGACUCCUUGAGAGUCCUGAAGGAACGUUGAAGACGACGACGUUGAUAGGCCGGGUGUGUAAGCGCAGCGAUGCGUUGAGCUAACCGGUACUAAUGAACCGUGAGGCUUAACCUUACAACGCCGAAG